rnacentral:misc_RNA from 1 species
GAUGAAGAACGUAGCGAAAUGCGAUAAGUAGUGUGAAUUGCAGAAUUCAGUGAAUCAUCGAAUCUUUGAACGCACAUUGCGCCCUUUGGUAUUCCAAAGGGCAUGCCUGUUCGAGCGUCAUUUGUACCCUCAAGCUUUGCUUGGUGUUGGGCGUCUUGUCUCUAGCUUUGCUGGAGACUCGCCUUAAAGUAAUUGGCAGCCGGCCUACUGGUUUCGGAGCGCAGCACAAGUCGCACUCUCUAUCAGCAAAGGUCUAGCAUCCAUUAAGCCUUUUUUUCAACUUUUGACCUCAAAUCAGGUAGGACUACCCGCUGAACUUAAGCAUAUCAAUAAGCGGAGGA